rnacentral:rRNA from 1 species
AUUGAACGCUGGCGGCAGGCCUAACACAUGCAAGUCGAACGAGUGGCGGACGGGUGAGUAAUGUCUGGGAACCUGCCUGAUGGAGGGGGAUAACUACUGGAAACGGUAGCUAAUACCGCAUACCAUCGGAUGUGCCCAGAUGGGAUUAGCUAGUGGGUGGGGAAAAGGCUCCCCUAGGCGACGAUCCCUAGCUGGUCUGAGAGGAAGACCAGCCACACUGGAACUGAGACACGGUCCAGACGCCGACGGCAGGCAGCAGUGGGGAAUAUUGGACAAUGGGCGCAAGCCUGAUGCAGCCAUGCCGCGUGUAUGAAGAAGGCCUUCGGGUUGUAAAGUACUUUCAGCGGGGAGGCGUUACCCGCAGAAGAAGCACCGGCUAACUCCGUGCCAGCCGCCGCGGUAAUAC